CAGCAGUUCUGUGUUUCAUGCUGAUGAGUUUGUCAUGUUUCUUUGUCUCCUUGAAAAAAUCUCACAAGUUGUGAUCCUGUGUUUCCAAUCCUCCAGGGUGACUACAGAUGAUUUGGGAUUCGCUAUGAAGGGAGCUGACAUGCUGUCUGGAGCAACAGAUGGGGUCCAGACUGUAAUCAUACACCUACAACGUGGCCAACAUGGGAGGCGGACGUAAUAAAUUAACCAUUGAGCGUUAAAGGAAAAAAGAAAAACAACAACAAGAUCCAGCAUGCACUUUUUCAGCAAUCUGUGCUACAGUAGCUGUUCUGUGCAGAGUCUUGGGUGACCAUGAUGCCCCUGUUGAUGCCCCUGUUGAUGCCCCUGUACCACUUUUGGUACAAAUCACUGUAUACCAGGAACACACAACAAGACCUGCUGUCAUUGUCAGAGAUGCUCAGAUCCUUCUACUUGGCCAAUUUUUAUUAUUGCUAAUAAUAAUUAAUA